rnacentral:misc_RNA from 1 species
UAUUUGAGCUGAGAGUACUGCACAUGUAUGUUAACAUUUGACAAGUGUUAAAGACUGGUAUGGGUUUGGAAUUUGAGAGUGGUUUAUUUUGGAGGCUAUUUUAAUGUAAAACCAUAAAAUAAGACUUGCUCAUCAUAGCUUAUCAUUUUAUUAAUUACGGAGCUAAUCCAUUCUACGAUUGAUGAUAGCUUAAGAUAUUAUCUGUUGUGUGUGUGGGUUUUCGAAUUUCGGGGGGUUUGGGGAUCAAAAUGCACCAUAUUGCCACUUUUAUCAACCAAAAUAUUGAGCUUUCAUACAGAUGUUUAAAAACUGGCAGAUUUAUUUAUAUAAAGAUUUGUUAUGUACAAUGUAAAGUAGAAAUAGGGAUAAGUUUAUUUGAGCAUGUGUAAAAGCAAAAUAAAUAUAGGUAAAAAUUGCAUUUAAUUAAAACAAAUAACAAUAUGAUAUGUUGUUAUGAAAACUAAUUGUUAAAUCAUUAAUAUUUGUUAAUAAAAAAGAUUUUUCACGAC